rnacentral:rRNA from 1 species
UAGGGAAUCUUCGGCAAUGGGGGCAACCCUGACCGAGCAACGCCGCGUGAGUGAAGAAGGUUUUCGGAUCGUAAAGCUCUGUUGUAAGUCAAGAACGGGUGUGAGAGUGGAAAGUUCACACUGUGACGGUAGCUUACCAGAAAGGGACGGCUAACUACGUGCCAGCAGCCGCGGUAAUACGUAGGUCCCGAGCGUUGUCCGGAUUUAUUGGGCGUAAAGCGAGCGCAGGCGGUUUGAUAAGUCUGAAGUUAAAGGCUGUGGCUCAACCAUAGUUCGCUUUGGAAACUGUCAAACUUGAGUGCAGAAGGGGAGAGUGGAAUUCCAUGUGUAGCGGUGAAAUGCGUAGAUAUAUGGAGGAACACCGGUGGCGAAAGCGGCUCUCUGGUCUGUAACUGACGCUGAGGCUCGAAAGCGUGGGGAGCGAACAGGAUUAGAUACCCUGGUGUCCACGCCGUAAACGAUGAGUGCUAGGUGUUGGAUCCUUUCCGGGAUUCAGUGCCGCAGCUAACGCAUUAAGCACUCCGCCUGGGGAGUACGACCGCAAGGUUGAA